rnacentral:rRNA from 1 species
UACGGGGGGAGCAAGCGUUGUUCGGAUUUACUGGGCGUAAAGGGCGCGUAGGCGGCCACUGCAAGUCGGUUGUGAAAUCUCCGGGCUUAACCCGGAAAGGUCAAUCGAUACUGCAGGGCUAGAGUGCAGAAGGGGCAACUGGAAUUCUCGGUGUAGCGGUGAAAUGCGUAGAUAUCGAGAGGAACACCUGCGGCGAAGGCGGGUUGCUGGGCUGACACUGACGCUGAGGAGCGAAAGUGUGGGGAGCGAACAGG